rnacentral:pre_miRNA from 1 species
AACCAAUUUCAUGCUUGAGGAGGCCCAAUGGGGAGAAAAACCAUACACAUCCUUGAGUGCAGCGUUGAUGAACCCAAAACCCUAAUUUCAGCAGCGCUGUACUCAAUGAUGCCUUUGGUAUUUCAUGUAAUUUUUCUCUUAUUCCUUUUUUUGGUU